ensembl:lncRNA
UAUGACCUGAUUACAGCACAGCACGAGCGAACAGGGGUGGCAUAAAGUAGCCAAACUAAGGUGGAUCCGGCGCUUUUAGUAGAGCGGUUUUCUUUCUGACAUCCCUCAGCAACAGCUCGAGGGCAGUCAAAGUGUAGCUGCACUUCCGAUGCCCAUAUUUGGCAAGCCUCAGCGAAGCGAACUCCCAGCGCAGGAGAGACACGCAGGAAAAUAAACAAUUCCACAUCACAAACUGCCAAGAGCCACAGGGUCUCCGAGGAGAGCAUGGAGUUCUUUGAGCGCACAAGCAGCAUCCUCCAGAAGCAGGAAAGCAUGCUCUGGACAGCCCAGGCGGAG